rnacentral:lncRNA from 1 species
GGGGGGGGGGGGGGAUUUGGUAAAUUAAAAGGAAAGGUUGCAUGUGAGCCGUUGAUCUGUUAGAUCAACGGUUAGGAUUAAAUAUGAGGUCUGGGCAGGUUAUUUAAUUGGGUCAGCGAUGGAUAAUUGGGUCACUUCAUUUGAAAUUGAAAUUGGGUUAAUUGUGGCUAUAAUUAAAAUACAAAAUGGACUGCAAUUGAAACGAAACGAGGCCAG